UUUAGGCAUGUCAACAUGGUCAAAACGCUGUGUUGAAGGUCACACCAAACAUCAGAAUAAGGUGGAAACGUAAUUUAAGUGACUUUGACAUGUUGUUGGUGACAGACAGGCUGAUCUGAGUAUUUCAGAAGCUGUUGAUCUACUGACAUACACUCACUGGCCAUUUUAUUAGGUACACCUGGUACUAGCAGCUGGUGGGUGUAAGCGCUCUUUAUGGUAAUAUUUUUAAUCAGAGUUCAGAAAAAAUGUUCCAAGAAACAUUCAUAAAACCAACAGUCUAAACUUUUUUCCAGAGCUGUAUUCUGAUUUUGGCUCACCUUAGUUUUUGAUGCUGUCCAGAGUUUAUUUAUGUUACAACAGUAGUUAUAGUGCUAAUAAAAAACAGGACAACCCAAUGGUCUUUGUGAUCUCGUUGGAAAACAGGAAAGGC